GGUGAUAUAGCUCAACUGAUAGAGUGCUUGCCUCCUGUGCACAAAGUCCUGGGUUCAGUCCCCAGCGCCACCA
rnacentral:tRNA from 1 species